AACAAGGCUUUUUUAAAAGCCCCCUACCCUCAAGGACCUAUAUUAU
rfam:Sarcophilus harrisii ctg7180002476817, whole genome shotgun sequence.